rnacentral:lncRNA from 1 species
UUACAGUAAAAAUUAAAUCAGAUCAAGCCAUGCUAUGUUGACUUUGUUCACUGCCAAACCCUGCUAUAUUGAUGAUGACUGCCAUUGAUGCACAAGUCAUGCUUAUUAGUACAUCUGUUCCUGUUUUAACUAAUUUGAGAAACAUAAAAACAUAAUUUUUUAAAUCAGUCUUGGUACACAUUGUGCAGUACAAAGAGAUAAAUUUUUGAGUUUAAAAAAAAGAAACUAAAAGACAAAUAAAAGCUCAACAAUGAACAAAUCAGAACAAAUAAUCUAAAAUGAUGAAGGCAUCAAAGGUGCAGAAAAAUGUAGAUGAUGAGCAAAAAAAACGAAACAUCAAACAAGACAUUGAUGGAGAAGGACCAAGGCAAAUAAGAAAGCAACUAAACAGAUCAAAAAAAAAACUAUAUAAAUACACCCUAUCAAAUUUCGAAAAGGAGGAGGAGAAAUAUGAGAUUAAUAUUGAUGAAAAACACAUAAAAAGAAAGAGAAGAAGAAGAAACAGAAAACAUCACCGCCGUUUCAACUUCCACCGCGAACCACCGUCUCUGUCUUCAUCGGUAUCUGAAAAGGCAUGUAUCUUCUCAUUAUCUUCAUGUU